rnacentral:lncRNA from 1 species
UUUUCUAGAUGUGCCCUUAAGGUGGAUAUCCAGAAAGCAUAUGAUACAGUGAGCUGGUCUUUUCUUCAAAAUAUCCUUUUUCACUUUGGGUUUCAUCCAGCUAUGAUAAAGUGGAUAAUGCAGUGUGUGAGUUCUCCUUCGUAUAUGAUUAGCAUGAAUGGUUCUUUUCAUGGCUAUUUUGAUGGAAAAAGAGGUCUUCGUCAGGGAUGCCCUUUAUCGCCUUAUCUCUUUACCUUGGUGAUGGAAAUUUUUAAUUUGAUUUUUCAAAGGAGAAUAAAGAAUGAACCUUUGUUCAAGUAUCAUUGGAGAUGCAAGAAACUUAAACUCACGCAUCUAUGUUUUGCGGAUGAUCUUAUGAUUUUUUGUCAUGGAAACAAAGCCUCGGUUAGGGUGAUUAAAGAUAGUCUUGAUGAGUUUGCAAAGGUGGCAGGUCUACAUCCCAAUUUCUCUAAAAGUCAUAUUUUUUUUGGGAAUGUCAAGACCAAUGUGAAAAGGAAAAUUCUUGACAUUUUACCCUUUGUUGAAGGCAAACUUCCAAUGAGGUAUUUGGGUAUGCCCCUAAUAUCUACAAGGUUGUUUAUUCGCGAUUGCAAAAGACUUGUUGAUAAAGUUAGAUGUAGAAUAGGUGAUUGGAGAAACAAAUUUCUUUCUUAUGCGGGAAGACUUCAGCUUAUUUCUUCGGUUCUUUACUCGCUUCCUAUCUAUUGGGCUUCUUGUCUUCUUAUUCCUGCUUCGAUUACUAAGGAAAUUGAGAAAUUGAUGAAGAAUUUUUUGUGGGAUUGUGAUGAAUCCAAGAAGGGAAGGGCAAAAAUAUCCUGGUCUUCUACUUGUAAACCUGUUGAGUAUGGGGGAUUGGGGCUUAGAAAUCUCAGAGCUUGGAAUAAAGCUAUUUUAUCUAAGAGAAUAUGGAUGAUUAUUUCCAAUCAUGACUCUUUGUGGGUUAAAUGGAUAAAUAUUCAUGUUCUUAAAGGUAGAAGCUUUUGGGAUAUUGAGGAAAAGCAAGAUUUUAGUUGGAGCUGGAGAAACUUGAUUAGAUUGAGACCCAAAUUUAGAAAUCAAUUUGUUACCAAGAUAGGGAAUGGAGCUAAUUCGUUUAUGUGGUUUGAUGAUUGGCAUCAAUUGGGUGCUUUUUCUCAUGUCCUUUCACCUAGAGAAAUUGCCAAUGCCGGGUUCAGAAUUUCAGACAAGGUCAAGGAUGUUAUAAUGGACAACUCUUGGUUUUGGCCUCCUGAGUGGCUCAGGCUUAUUCCCCAGCUGAAUGAUUUUCAGCUGCCGGUUCUUGACCCUAUGGUGGCUGAUAGAAUCUUGUGGAGGAAUAGGGAUGGUCAAGUGGUGGAAUUUGAUAUUCAUCAAGUUUGGAGAGACCUUAGUAAUUGUGGUCAAAAGGUUCCUUGGGCUCAUCUUGUUUGGUUCAAACAACGUAUUCCUAGACUCAGUUUUAUUUUAUGGCUGGCUAUCCAGGAAAGGCUUAUGACUCAGGAUAGAAUGAGGUUUUGGGAAAAAAAUAAAAAUCUUAAGUGUGUUUUUUGUAAUAAGCAACCAGAUUCGCAUGCUCAUUUAUUCUUUGAAUGCUCUUUCUCCUCUCUUGUUUGGAAAGUUGUGAAAGAUAAAGUGGGAAUUUCAAGUAAUUCUCAAGGUUGGAAAGAGUUAAUUGAAGAAUUUCAAGAUUUGUUUAAAGGGAAAAGUGUCCAAGUUUUUAUCAUGAAGAUUGCUUUUGCUGCUUCAGUUUAUUAUAUUUGGAGAGAAAGAAAUUGCAGAAUUUUUAGGAAAGGAAAAAAUGAGGAGAUGAAAAUUGUUUUGAACAUCUUUGAAGAAAUCCGUUUAAAGCUUAUUGGCCUCAAAGGUGAUUUUUUGGGCUUUGAUAAUGUUGUCAAGAGGAAGUGGGGAGUUCCUGUGGGAGAGAACAAUCAUGAAUUUUUUGAUGAUCAAAGGAAUUGACGGGUUUGGGUUUAGCAAUUUUCCUUUUAAAAUUGCUUUGCAUAUCGGUUUGAUCCCGAUUUUCUGGAGGAAUUUUCUUCUAGAAGUGGUUUUUUUCUUGCAAAUGGGUCUUAUCCCCAUUAUAAGUUGUUUUCCUCCUUGGCAACUUGGAGUCUCCACUACGGUGGGUGCCACUGCUAUUUCGAUUAGCAAGUGGUGGGAUAAUUACCCGUCAAUACCAGGGAUUGGGUACGUUUUCCUUAAACUGUACCACACUCAGGUUGGUUGUUUCCUUUGUUUACAUAAAAACAACCACUUUUUAUUGUAUUGGAAUGCUUGUAUAGUUAAUGCUAUCCGGUUUAUCCCGGAUUUCAUUGGUAGUUUUACCUUUGAAGUGGUACUUCUCUUGAUACAAAUGGGUUUGAUUCCCAUUCUUGGUUGUUUUUCUCCUUGGCAACUUGGAGUCUCCACCUCGGUGGGUGCCACUGCUAGUUCGAUUAGCAAGUGGUGGGAUAAUCACCCGGUAAUACCACGGAUUGGGUACGUUUUCCUUAAACUGUACCACAAACAGGUUGGUUGUUUCCUUUGUCUUCAUAAAAACAACCACUUUUGGAUCCUUAGAGAUUAUUAUCUUGGUAUUUGCUUUCUGGUUUAUCCCAGAAUUCAUUGGAAUUUUUCCUUUGAAGUGGUCAAUUUUUUAAAGCAAAUGGGUUUGAUCCCCGUUAGUUGGAAUCUUCUUCCUAGGCAACUAGGAAUCUCCACUUUAGUGGGUGCCACUGCUAGUUCGAUUAGCAAGUGGUGGGAUUUUUACCCGUUAAUACACUGGAUUGGGUACGUUAACCUUAGACUGUACCACAUUUGGGUUGGUUGUUUCCCUUGUUUUCAUAGAAACAACCACUUUUGGAUCGUUUUUUCUUCUUGGUUUUACCAAGUUUUUAAUGCAAACCGGUCUAUCCCGGUUAUCAUUGGUAAUUUUACCUUUGAUGUGGAUUUUGAAGGUUCUAUUCUUAAUUAUUUAGGAAUUAACCUUCAGGGGUAUUUUUGGAAUAUUCCCAUUAAAAAAGGAAUUGACGGAUUUCUCAUCAUUGGAGUGAUUCUUAAGAAGAGUGUUGGCGGAUUGGAAUUUUAUGACAUUGAAGAUUGUGGUUUUUUCGGUCCUAUAAGCUCUUUUUUUGUUAGAAGAUGGUUUACUCAUAAAGGGCAAUUUUGUAAUUUUUGGUUUAUUCCUUUGGAAGAAUUUUUGAAGAUUAAUUGGAAUUGUUUGUGCAAGAAAGAUUUUGGAGAAAAGUUGAAGAUUCUUUGGAAAUGGUGGAAUUUGAUUGGCCAUCCCGGUUUUAGUAACAUACUUUCUUGGAAUUUGAAGAUUUUUGCUUUAGCAAAUGAGGAUAUUGGAAAAUUUUUGGAAGAUUUAAUUGACAAUUUUAGGAAUUGUUUCAAGAAUUUUGUGAAGGAUAUUGGGCUUAUUUUUUGGAGCAUAUGGGUUUUUCAAGUAAAGAUUGGAAAGAAGUUCAACAAUUGGUUUUUGGAGAGGGAUGGAAAGUAUUGCAUGAAGAGUAAAGUUCAAAGUUCAAAGUUGAUUGCUAUUCUUGGAUUUAUUCCGGUUUGGAGAAUUUUGAAAUUUUAUGAUGGUUUGAUUGAUUUGGCCAAUGAUUCUCUUGAUUUGGAAGUUCCUUGGAUGUUUUGUAAGAUUGAUAUUAUCCAAACCUUGGAUUAUUUGUUUGAGUAUGAGGCCAAUUUUUGGGAUUUGGUUUGGUGGAGGUUUAUUGGCUAUUUGAAGAUUGAAGAUUUUGAAGAUUUCACAAGAUGGAAGAUUUUUGAUUUGGAGCUAAUUGUUUAUUUCCUUGGAAGCUAUGUUUGGUUUCAUACUUUGCUUUGGAGUUGGACUUGGAAGUGGAUUGGUUGGUUUUUGUUAGAUAGGUCUUUUUGUCCCAUUAAAAAUUAUUGUUGUUUAGAUUAGUUUUAGUUGUUCGUUAGGUUUUGUAGUUAGUUUUUUUGGGGCGGUUGCUCUCUCUCCUUUUGUAAUUUUUUGCUUUUCAAUAAAAUUCGCCAAGGGGUCUCCCCUUUUAUCCAAAAAAAAAAAACCCUAAACCCUAAACCCUAAACCCUAAACCCUAAACCCUAAACCCUAAACCCUAAACCCUAAACCCUAAACCCUAAACCCUAAACCCUAAACCCUAAACCCUAAACCCUAAACCCUAAACCCUAAACCCUAAACCCUAAACCCUAAACCCUAAACCCUAAACCCUAAACCCUAAACCCUAAACCCUAAACCCUAAACCCUAAACCCUAAACCCUAAACCCUAAACCCUAAACCCUAAACCCUAAACCCUAAACCCUAAACCCUAAACCCUAAACCCUAAACCCUAAACCCUAAACCCUAAACCCUAAACCCUAAACCCUAAACCCUAAACCCUAAACCCUAAACCCUAAACCCUAAACCCUAAACCCUAAACCCUAAACCCUAAACCCUAAACCCUAAACCCUAAACCCUAAACCCUAAACCCUAAACCCUAAACCCUAAACCCUAAACCCUAAACCCUAAACCCUAAACCCUAAACCCUAAACCCUAAACCCUAAACCCUAAACCCUAAACCCUAAACCCUAAACCCUAAACCCUAAACCCUAAACCCUAAACCCUAAACCCUAAACCCUAAACCCUAAACCCUAAACCCUAAACCCUAAACCCUAAACCCUAAACCCUAAACCCUAAACCCUAAACCCUAAACCCUAAACCCUAAACCCUAAACCCUAAACCCUAAACCCUAAACCCUAAACCCUAAACCCUAAACCCUAAACCCUAAACCCUAAACCCUAAACCCUAAACCCUAAACCCUAAACCCUAAACCCUAAACCCUAAACCCUAAACCCUAAACCCUAAACCCUAAACCCUAAACCCUAAACCCUAAACCCUAAACCCUAAACCCUAAACCCUAAACCCUAAACCCUAAACCCUAAACCCUAAACCCUAAACCCUAAACCCUAAACCCUAAACCCUAAACCCUAAACCCUAAACCCUAAACCCUAAACCCUAAACCCUAAACCCUAAACCCUAAACCCUAAACCCUAAACCCUAAACCCUAAACCCUAAACCCUAAACCCUAAACCCUAAACCCUAAACCCUAAACCCUAAACCCUUAAACCCUAAACCCUAAACCCUAAACCCUAAACCCUAAACCCUAACCCUAAACCCUAAACCCUAAACCCUAAACCCUAAACCCUAAACCCUAAACCCCAAAAACCCAAAACCCAAACCGUUUCUCUCUCUUCUCUGGCGAUUUUGUGUUUCCCCCGUUUUUUUCAACCGUUUUUCCGGCACCGUUCUUAGCUCCGACGUCGGAAUUUGUUGAUUCCGGUCUCUUUUUGUUCGUUUUCUUCUGCUUGAUCUGUGGAUAUCUUUGAAUUGGUUCUAUGGUGGGAGUUCCACCAGAUCUGGAACCUGACGUAAUAAUGAGGAAAAAAGGGAAAAUUGUGAAUUCGAAGAACAAGUCAAAAGAAGCUUCAAUUAAUGUUCAGGAGAUGAUUGCUAACCCAGUUCCUCCUAAAUCGGUAUCUCUUCUAGUAAAAAAAUUUGAUUCCGAUGCUAAAUCGCCUGAUUCCAAGGAAGAGGGUAAAUUUGGCAACACAUUCAAUGAAGGGACUGUGAUUGAGAAUUCGUCUAAUUCUUCAGAUGUUAAUUUCGAUGCUGCUUCUAUGGCUCCUUUGACAAACUGUAAUCCUAUUAAGAUGGAGGAUGGAAUGAUUGAAGGAUUGAGUUCCCCUGUUCAUGAAUUUGAAAAGGACAUCGAGCUUUUUUGUAGCCCAGGAGAGAAGGAUGCGAUGUUGUGUUUUUGGAAUGGACUUUCCAGUAAUGAGAAGGAAGGAUUUGUGCAUGGUCUGAGGUUUAUCAAAAAGAAAUACAAUAAAGAAGGUGAGUAUGAUUCUGAGUUUGAUGAUUCAAUUGAUAACAUUAGAAAAAUCUCCUCUGUAAGUCAAAGGAAUGAUAUUCUUAUGAAUUGGAAAGAUCUUAAUCAAAAGAAGAAGGAAAAGGUGUUCCAUAAACUUUGUACUAGCAAAAUUAAGAAGCAGGUGGAAGCUAAUUUUGGGAAAAAUCGUGUUCCUUUCAAACCUUCUUCUUCGUUGUUUCCGGCAGCAAUUGAUAUGAAGAAGCAUUCUGAUCUUGAGGCAUCGGAUGGAUUACAGAAAGUUGGUGAAACUGUUUUGGAAAUUAUUCCUGAAGGAGUCCCUGUUUUAAGCUCUAAUGAAACUGUUGUUGUUGAUCUUCAAAAACUCUGUGCUAUGCAACCUCAGGUAAAGGAUAAUAAGAUUAAAAGAAAGAUUGAAAUUGAUGAGCUGGUUAGCAAGCAAAUUGAACAAGUUUGUAAUGCUAUUGAUUAUAAUUUCCCAUCCAAAUUUAAUCAAAUUGAUUUAGCCAAUGAAGGGGAAUUUAAAUUCAAUUAUGUUGAUGCUGAUGAAAAGGAAUUAGAUGCUAAAAUGAUUAUUGAUGGGAAUGAAGACAUUUGCUUGAAUAGUCGUAAUACCAAUGGAGGUCUUCUUAUUACGAAGGAAAUGCUGGAACAAAUGAAGAUGAAGAAUUUAAAGAGUGAAGAACAGAACCCAAUUCCUAAGCCUAAUUCAAUGGAAGUGGAGAAAAAUCACCCAGUUUCUUAUGCUGAGAAGGUUAGUGGCAAAAAACUUAAUGCAGCAAAUCUUAUUUCUAAAAUUAAAAAAAUGCUGAACUUCCAAAUGGAGUUGUGGAAAUGCCGUUAAGUGAUAUUCUGAAGGGAUGCAGCCCUUUCAAGACUACCCUUUAUGGGUAUUUUAUUGAUAAACACGUCAAUUUCUUUAAUGUCAAUAAAUUUGCUCAUAACAUGUGGAAGAAGUAUGGGUUAGAAGAAGUUAUGGUAAAUGAUGAGGGGAUUUAUUUCUUCAGAUUUAGCACUGAACAAGGAAUGGUCUCUGUUCUAGAAGGGGGAGUUUGGAUGAUUUUUGAUAGUGCCCUUAUUGUCAGGAGAUGGACUACUGGAGUGAGCUCAGUUAAAGAUCAACACGAUAAAGUUCCGGUGUGGGUUAAGAUUUUUAAUGUUCCUUUAGAAUAUUGGAAUGGGACAGGAUUGAGUCAUAUUGCUUGGGAGAUAGGGAAGCCUCUUGAUGUUGAUGCUCAUACAGCGAAAAUGUGUCAAGAACAUUGGGGUAGGCCGGCUUUUAUGAGAAUUCUUAUUGAGAUGUCUGCUGCUAGUGAAUGGCUUAAAGAAAUCCAUGUUUAUUCUUCGGAUCUUACUACUGGUGAAAGAAUUUUGUCUAAGUGUAAGAUAGAGUAUGCGUGGAACCCUUCCAAAUGUUCUCACUGCAAGGUGUAUGGGCAUAGGGAUUCCUCUUGUGGGAUUUUGUUAGCCAAAGAAGUUAAUAACAUUGAAAGUUCUGUUUCUAAUGAGAAAAUUGAGGAGGGUGUUAAAGUUGAUCUCAUGGAAGUGCUUAUUGCAAGCACUAAAAAAGUUGAGGAAAAUAAUGAUGGGUUUCAAAAGUUUGUCAAAAGAAACAAAGGAAAUAAUAUGGGGGAAAAUAAAACCGAGCAAAAUGGGAGCAAAAGUCAAGAACCGGUCCAAGGGCAAAAAGGGAAAUUUCAAGAAAAUGGAAAGAAGUGGGGAGGAAAUAUAGCUGGAAAUCAGGGGCAAAAAGGGAAUACUUAUGCUAAAAAUGGAAAUAAUUCUGGAGGGAAUCAAUGGAAUAAAGGAAAAGGAAUUCAGGGGCAAAAUGGGAAAAAUAAUUUUGGGAAUGGAAUGAAUAAGGGGGUUAAAUUGGAGCAGGGGCAAAACAGUAAAAAUGGAAAUUUUUUUGGAAAAGCGAGAGAUAUAGGGGCUGUUUCAGUGGAAAACAUCAUGCAGGGGAAUAAUGCUGUAAACAGGAACUUUCCGGAUCAAAAACAGGUUGCUGAAAUGAGUAAAAAAGCUGUCAGUGGGCAGAAAUAUAUUCCGAAAACUGGUCCUGAUAUCAAAAUUAGUUCUAAUUUUGAUUUGAAGACUCGUAAUGAGAAAUCUAAUGAUCAUGUGAUUCCUUUUUCUGCUAACAAGUUCGAUGCUCUUAAUGAUUUGGAAGAGGAUAAUCAAUGUGCUUUUAACAAAGGUGGUAUUCCAGAGAUUGAUUUAGAUUAUUUGGAUAAAGUGGAUCAAAUGGAAAUUAUAGGUGGUAUCCCUUUGGUUGAUACCAACAUGGAAGGCCUUUCCAAUGACGUUUAAUUUUGGAAUUUGGAAUGUUAGGGGUUUUAAUCAAUCCCCUAAGCAAAAAGAAAUAAAAAAUUUAAUAAAGGAGAAAAAUUUGAGUUUAUUAGCUAUUCUUGAACCUCAAGUUAGUUCUAAUAAACUUAAUGAGAAGUGUGAAAAAGUUUUUGGGUCUUGGAAGUGGACUGCUAUAAAAGGUAAUAUGGGGCGUACUUAUCGGAUUAUUUUGGGUUGGAAUUCUCUUCUUUUUGAUGUUAACUUGAUUGAUCACAAUGAUCAAGUUAUCCAUUGCAAAGUUUGUUUUCCCUCAACCAAUAAGUAUGUUUUCUGUUCCAUUGUUUAUGCUGCCAAUAAGUACAUUGAUAGAAGAGCUCUGUGGACUUCUCUUGUGCAUCAUAAAGGUUUUAUCAAAGAAGAUCCGUGGAUUAUUGGAGGUGAUUUCAAUGUCACUCUUGAUCUUAGUGAAAGUUCAGCUGGCUCGUCUAAAUUUUCUAAAGGGAUGGUUGAAUUUCUUGAUUGCAUUAAUACUCUUGAAAUUCAAGAUAUUAAUUGCAAUGGUUUGAAUUUCACUUGGAAUCAAAAACCUCAAGGAGAUAAUGGUAUUAUGAAGAAACUUGAUCGUGUCAUGGGCAAUUGUAGUCUUUUGGAUCUGUUUCCUUCAAUUUGUGCUUCUUUUCUUCCAUAUGGGCUUUCUGAUCACAGUCCGAUUAUUAUAAAAAUUCCUUUAAGAAUCAAUUUUAAGGUUCUUUCCUUUAAAUUUCCAAAUGUUCUUACCCUUUGUCCUGAGUUGAAGCUGUUGGUGGAAAGGCAUUGGAAUGUAGACAUUCAAGGUGUUAAAAUGUUCAUUUUAACACAAAAGCUCAAAAUCCUUAAAAAGCCUAUUCGAAAUCUUUUAAAGAUGCAGGGGCAUUUCUCGGAUAAUGUUGAUCAUUUUCGCAAGGAGUUGGAAGCGGUUCAAGUAGAUUUGGAUUUGGAUCCUUAUAAUUCUCACCUUCGUGAUUUGGAGGCCAUAUUUCUUGGUGAGUUAAAAAAAGCUUAUGAUAAGGAGGAGAGGUUCUUAAAACAGAAAGCUAAAAUCCAAUGGCUAAAGGAGGGUGACAGCAAUUCCAAGUUUUUUCACAGAAUUGUUAAAGGAAAAAUGCAUAAAAACAGAAUUGAGGCGGUUAUGAAUUCUCGAGGAGAGUGGCUGGAAGGUGAUGCUGUUUAUAAAGAAUUCAUUGACUAUUUUCAGGAUUUUCUUGGAAAAGAGGUGCCUUGCGAUGAGAUUUUUCUGCCUGAGUCUCUAUUUAUUAAAAAGCUGGAUCUCAUUGAUGCUGUGGAGAUGGUCAAGAUAGUCUCAAAUGAAGAAAUUAAAGCUGCUCUCUUUGACAUAGAUGAUGAUAAAGCUCCUGGACCGGAUGGGUAUUCGGCUAAAUUCUUUAAAUCUAUGUGGUCUAUUAUUGGAGAGGAUUUCUGCUUGGCUGUUAAGGAUUUUUUUGCUAAUGGAAAAAUUCUCAAAGAAAUAAAUGCUACUGUCAUUGCUUUAGUUCCUAAAGUUAAUUCUCCUGGGAAAGUGAGUGACUUUAGACCUAUUUCUUGUUGUUCUGUCAUUUAUAAGUGCAUAAGCAAGAUCAUUGUUGGAAGACUAAGAAAUCAUUUAGGUUCUAUUGUUGCUGAAAACCAAUCUGCCUUUAUCCCGGGGAGAUCCAUCACAGAUAAUAUUCUUCUUUCCCAAGAACUGGUCAGGGGUUAUCACAGAGACCGAGGAUUUUCUAGAUGUGCUCUUAAGGUGGAUAUCCAGAAAGCGUAUGAUACCGUGAGCUGGUCUUUUCUCCAAAAUAUUCUAUUUCACUUUGGGUUUCAUCCAGCUAUGAUAAAGUGGAUCAUGCAGUGUGUGAGCUCUCCUUCGUAUAUGAUCAGCAUGAAUGGAUCCUUUCAUGGCUAUUUUGAUGGAAAAAGAGGUCUUCGUCAGGGAUGCCCUUUAUCACCAUAUCUCUUUACCUUGGUGAUGGAAAUUUUUAAUUUGAUUUUUCAAAAGAGAAUAAAGAAUGAACCGAUGUUCAAGUAUCAUUGGAGAUGCAAGAAACUCAAACUCACGCACCUAUGUUUUGCGGAUGAUCUAAUGAUUUUCUGUCAUGGAAACAAAGCCUCGGUUAGGGUGAUUAAAGAUAGUCUUGAUGAGUUCGCUAAGGUGGCAGGUCUCCAACCUAAUUUCUCUAAAAGCAAUAUUUUCUUUGGGAAUGUCAAGACCAAUGUGAAAAGGAAAAUUCUUGACACUUUACCUUUUGUUGAAGGCAAGCUUCCAAUGAGGUAUUUGGGUAUUCCCCUAAUUUCUACGAGGUUGUUUAUUCGUGAUUGCAAAAGACUUGUUGAUAAAGUCCGAUGUAGAAUUGGUGAUUGGAGAAACAAAUUUCUUUCUUAUGCGGGAAGGCUUCAGCUAAUUUCUUCGGUUCUUUACUCUCUUCCUGUAUAUUGGGCUUCUUGUCUUCUUAUUCCUGCUUCGAUCACUAAGGAAAUUGAGAAAUUGAUGAAGAAUUUUUUGUGGGACUGUGAUGAAUCCAAGAAGGGAAGGGCAAAAAUAUCCUGGUCUUCUAUUUGUAAACCUGUGGAGUAUGGGGGUUUGGGGCUCAGAAAUCUUAGAGCUUGGAAUAAAGCUAUUUUAUCUAAGAGAAUAUGGAUGAUUAUUUCCAAUCAUGAUUCUUUGUGGGUUAAAUGGAUAAAUAUUCAUGUUCU